UCUUCGUCGCUCCUUUUGUGAAGCCGAGUAUUCGCUCUCGUCCUCCUUGUGCUCCGCUCUGUUGCGCGUCGCCGUGAUCGAGAAGCCGACGUCGAUGGACGUAAUCGACCAGGAGUUCCACAGAUUCAAGCAGAUACAAGGAUGAUAUCGAUUAGAGUUUUUUAGCUCAAUGCUUUGAUCCAUUUGGCUGGAUGGUAGUGCUCUGUGAAAAGAUCAUGAAGUUGCACCAGGAGACCUGGCUGCAGUUGUUAGUUUUCUCAUUUCUGGAGUCAGCUACUGCAAGGAUCCCUAUGGGAUAUUGCAAAGAGAAUUAAAUCCCUACAGACGAACCAAGUUGAAUGGAGAGAAGAAUCUGAUAAGAGAUUGAUUAUGGAGUUAUUUGAAGGAUUAUGCCCAGUAUGAUGUUUAUGCACUUCAAGAUUCAUCAGUAAGUAUUGACCUCUAAAUUAUGUGAGCACGCUUUUUACUCUAGUCUACAAAUUUCUGAAAUUUGCAUACUGUUCUUGCAAUUAUUUUUACUAUUAUGUUUGUACAUUAUAUCUUGAAUCAUAUGAUGUAUUAGUCUGUAUGCUUGUUUUAUUAUGUUAUUGGUGUAACAUUACCUUGAAAUUGA